CGCAACGUGGCCUCUGUGGUCCCCAUGGUGCUCAGAGAGGGGCUGGCUGCACAGCAGGUCCCUUGAGGAAGGGCUUGGGCUGGAAGGUGGAAGGCAGAGGUUGGCACCAAACCCUUCAGAGCAGCAAUCCCCGACUGCUGCUCCUGGUUCGUUCUCCAUCCCCACGCUUGUCCCUGCGCCCUGAGAGAAAUGGGGCUGAGGGCUGAGGACCAGCUCUGGUCGGAGAGAGCAGGUACACUGGAUGCUGCUGUGGCUGAGUCUGGAGGGGACAAGGUCAGGCCUUAUCCUGUACAGAACACGCUGAUGUGAAACCAGCUCCUAUGUUGGGAAUGUGCAUUAUCCCACUGCAGGAUAAGGGACCCAGGGUGAUUUCCCAAGUGGAUGGGGCUGCUCUGUCUGUCCCCCACUGCCAUGGAAAUCAGCAUCUAGCAAAGCCUGACCCAUUGCUGUGAGGCUUUUCUAGAGAGCCGGUGCCUUUUCUGCUUCCUUUGGAGGCUUGUCUUUACAGGGGAUGUUGCUGGUGAUGAUCUGGAGGGAGAUAAAUCUGUUUGUGUGUAUCUGCUUUAAAGGAAUGUAGAGGCCUGAGUAAAUCCAGCAUCCGCCUUUAUGACAGGCACUGGCAGAGACUGGGAUCAGAGCAAAGAGCUGCUGGGAGCGUGGCAGCUCUGAGCCCAUCCCAGCACACACAUUCUGCAUCCUGUCCUUACGCUGGGCGGCAUGCGAUGCCCAUGCCACUGUCACACAUGCCUCCAUUUUUGCUUGCUCUGCAUGCAGUCAAAGGAGAUACCUGGGGGCUGAGACCCCACCUUCCCUCCCUCCUCCCCACUGCUGUCAUCUGCUUUCUGCUAACCCUGCACGCAUCAUGGAGGGAGGAAGAGAAAGGAAAGGUAUGAAGCAAAUCCCAGGCUGGAGUGGGAUGUUUCUCAGUAUCAGACAUCACCCAGCAGCAUGGAAGCCCAGAUGAUGCUGUACUCACCAGUGCC